rnacentral:lncRNA from 1 species
GACACAUGAUCGAGCACAAUGGCGUUCUAAGAUUCAUAUAGCCGAUCCCACUCAGUGACUUGGAUUUUCCAAGUCUCCAACCGAGAAGUUUUCCUCACUCGGGAAAUUAAGGGAACACUACCCCAACCUACAUGCUCCACUCAGAAAGCUUCAACAUACAAGCUUUAACAAAAGAAAAUUCAAAGAACUUAGCGAAGAAGGCUUUGGUGUAUUUAACACAAUACGUUGAAAUGAAGGAAAGCUUAUUUAUUGAUAUCCCCCGAUAAGCUACAAAUAUGUACAUAUACAUGAGUCAAAAUAAACACACAAGAGGGAGCCUUCACAAAGGUUGCUUAGGAGAAGUCUCAGCAGUCGGUAGAGCCCCAGAAAAGAGAAGGCAUCGGAGGGGGAUCAUUUGGAGCCUCAGUACUGGACAGAACCCUAGAAGGAGAGGCAUCAGAGGUUGAUCAUUUGGAGCUUCAUUACGCGGUACAGCCCCAGAAGACGAAGGCAAUAAAUGCCUUUGGAACAAACCCACAAAUCUCUGAUGAUC